UUUAAUUACAGUCAAAUCCAUGUAUUCGUUUAUGAGGGCUAGAGGUGUCAAAGAUAUCGCAGCACCUGCUAUUUGGCGACUGAAAAUUCUAACUAAAGUCAAUAUUUUUUUUGGCUAGCUUUAAAAAAGAGAUUAUCUACUGUGGAUAACGUUUUUAAAAGGGGAUGGUCUGGGAAUUAUGGGUGUGUCAUGUGUGGCGUUGGCCUGGGACUGUUGAUCACUUGUUGGUGGGAUGUGUUAUUGGCAAGUUCCUUUUUAUUUCGCACCAAGAGAACCUCCACAUCUUCCCUUUUAGUCACGAUGUCAAUACCGUCUGGAAAGGCCUGCUGGGAAGGGCGUCGCAAGUCGCAACCUGACUUUUUGAAGGCUUAGAUACUUGUGGCAGUCUUGUGGUGGACAAUCCAGCAUGAAAAAAAUAACAUUAUUUUUAUAUAUCUAUCUACUAACGCUACCUCAAUUAGUCAUCAUAUUGGAGUACUGGCGAAGGAGUGGGCCGAUUUUUGUAAAGCUGAGCGGCGUCAACAUUUGUUACCUUUUUUGUUUGGAUGCUUGUUUCUGAUUCUACUCUAGCUUUAUUUUUAGUUCUUUUUUUCUUUGAUUUUUCAUUAUUUUAGAAGUCUUAGCUGCCUCACUCUAUAUGGCUAAAUUUAUUUAUCUAAUGAAUAAAGCUGAUAACGUACAAUCUUUUUUUAAAAAAAAUAUAAUCUAUAUGG
rnacentral:lncRNA from 1 species